rnacentral:rRNA from 1 species
AAGGGAGAGGAAUAGGUAGAAAUCUACCCUCGGGACGGGGAUGGCGGCGGGAAACUGCCGGUAAUACCCGAUAACAUCUUCGGAUCAAAGGUGUGAUUCCGCCUGGGGAUGAGUCUACUUCCUAUUAGCUUGUUGGCGGGGUAAUGGCCCACCAAGGCAACGAUGGGUAGCGGGUGUGAGAGCAUGACCCGCCUCACUGGGACUGAGAACUGCCCAGACACCUACGGGUGGCUGCAGUCGAGAAUCUUCGGCAAUGGGCGCAAGCCUGACCGAGCGACGCCGCGUGCGGGAUGAAGGCCUUCGGGUUGUAAACCGCUGUCGUAGGGGAACAAAUUUACGGGGGUUCUCCCCUGUAAUUGAGUGAUCCUAGGAGGAAGGAGAGGCUAAGCUCGCGCCAGCAGCCGCGGUAAGACGAGCUCUCCAAACGUUAUUCGGUAUCACUGGGCUUAAAGAGUUCGUAGGCGGCCUUGCAGGUGAGGUGUGAAAGCCCUCGGCUCAACCGGGGAACUGCGCUUCAAACCGCAAGGCUGGAGGGAGAUAGAGGUGAGCGGAACAGAUGGU